GAGAAGACAUGCUGGGUCUCGGAUCGGCUCUCCUCUGCGAGCAGCUGGGACGCUGGAUAUCUGUGGGUCUUGGGCCUGCAGCAAAAGUCAGACAGGGAAAAGCUGAAAGGCAAGAUGGUUUGUAACUGUAGAUGAGCUGAGGCGGGCGAACACAGCCGCGCAGCGAGCACUCUUGAGCGGGCACACGGAGCGAGUGGACGCUGCUGGAUCAUGAGAGCGGACGCCGGAGGAAAGCGCGGCCGGAAAGAGCGCCUGCUCGCCGGGCGCGCAUGUGAGGAUCCGCCCUAGAGGCAGACGGAACUCUUGAUGUGUCAGUCAAACUGAGUAUUUUUUUCUACUCAAGCAUGGCGGUGAUAAUUGGAUUGUGUGGACACCUGUAUGAGUGCAGUAUUUCCAGGGGAUUAGAGAACGGGAUGGCUUUUGCAGGUUCUGUCCAGACCCGUGGACUGAGUUCACCUGACUGUUGUCUCGCGAUGGACCAGAUCUGCACAUUUGGGGACGUCGGUGUCAGCACACUUGAAGCAUCAACUUUGACCUCUCAGUAAAUGCAUACUUUAGAGUCAUGCUAAAAUGGUUGUGCAUAUGGAAUUUACUAAUGCUAAUGACUUAUUUCACCAAAAUAAACUCCAAAUCUAUAUUCCUAAUAACAAUAUUUGAAUACAAGAAUAGUAAUUUCUGUAAUAUGGUACUGUUCUGUGUUAAUACAUCAUGU